CCUACGGGAGGCAGCAGUAGGGAAUCUUCCACAAUGGGCGAAAGCCUGAUGGAGCAACGCCGCGUGGGUGAAGAAGGUCUUCGGAUCGUAAAACCCUGUUGUUCGAGAAGAAAGUGCGUGAGAGUAACUGUUCACGUUUCGACGGUAUCUAACCAGAAAGCCACGGCUAACUACGUGCAAGCAGCCGCGGUAAUACGGAGGGGGCAAGCGUUAUCCGGAUUUAUUGUGCGUAAAGGGAACGCAGGCGGUCUUUUAAGUCUGAUGUGAAAGCCUUCGGCUUAACCGGAGUAGUGCAUUGGAAACCGGGGGACAUGAGUGCAGAAGAGGAGAGUGGAACUCCAGGUGUAGCGGUGAAAUGCGUAGAGAUGAGGCGGAACACCAGUGGCGAAAGCGGCUCUCUGGUCUGUAACUGACGCUGAGGUUCGAAAGCGUGGGUAGCAAACAGGAUUAGAUACCAUUGUAGUC
rnacentral:rRNA from 1 species